CACAGAUGGAUCGUGAGUGGUUGUUGGAUCUUUCCAGAUCACCACACCACAUCACCCAGCCACUCUGCCCAAUGGGAGGGCAGACAGUGUUCCAGUGUAGGAGGAAGGGGUGUAAGGUGCGGGCAGUUUGUGAGGAGGGCACCAACGAGAGCUACUGUGAGAAAGUCUGCAUGGUCAAAAAGUGGAUUACCAAGAACAAAGCAUCAUAAUGUUGUCCAGUGGACCCCAGGGUCAUCUGGAUGAAAUGAAUACUUUUAGGGCAAAAUGGCUGAUACUGCUUCCUUGAUAACCACAUAUAGAAAACUGACAACUGUUUAGAACAAAGCCAAAGAUGAAACCAAAUAUAAAACCACUGAUGAAAACUAAGUGAAAAAUAUAAGCAAA
rnacentral:lncRNA from 1 species